rnacentral:rRNA from 1 species
UGCAGUCGAGCGAACCGACGGGAGCUUGCUCCCUUAGGUUAGCGGCGGACGGGUGAGUAACACGUGGGUAACCUGCCUGUAAGACUGGGAUAACUCCGGGAAACCGGGGCUAAUACCGGAUGCUUGAUUGAACCGCAUGGUUCAAUCAUAAAAGGCGGCUUCGGCUGCCGUUUACAGAUGGACCCGCGGCGCAUUAGCUAGUUGGUGAGGUAAUGGCUCACCAAGGCGACGAUGCGUAGCCGACCUGAGAGGGUGAUCGGCCACACUGGGACUGAGACACGGCCCAGACUCCUACGGGAGGCAGCAGUAGGGAAUCUUCCGCAAUGGACGAAAGUCUGACGGAGCAACGCCGCGUGAGUGAUGAAGGUUUUCGGAUCGUAAAGCUCUGUUGUUAGGGAAGAACAAGUACCGUUCGAAUAGGGCGGUACCUUGACGGUACCUAACCAGAAAGCCACGGCUAACUACGUGCCAGCAGCCGCGGUAAUACGUAGGUGGCAAGCGUUGUCCGGAAUUAUUGGGCGUAAAGCGCGCGCAGGCGGUUUCUUAAGUCUGAUGUGAAAGCCCCCGGCUCAACCGGGGAGGGUCAUUGGAAACUGGGGAACUUGAGUGCAGAAGAGGAGAGUGGAAUUCCACGUGUAGCGGUGAAAUGCGUAGAGAUGUGGAGGAACACCAGUGGCGAAGGCGACUCUCUGGUCUGUAACUGACGCUGAGGCGCGAAAGCGUGGGGAGCGAACAGGAUUAGAUACCCUGGUAGUCCACGCCGUAAACGAUGAGUGCUAAGUGUUAGAGGGUUUCCGCCCUUUAGUGCUGCAGCAAACGCAUUAAGCACUCCGCCUGGGGAGUACGGUCGCAAGACUGAAACUCAAAGGAAUUGACGGGGGGCCCGCACAAGCGGUGGAGCAUGUGGUUUAA